CGACGGGCACACAGACUGCUCCUGCUCGGGCUUUCAAACCGAGACCUCCACAUGGCUUCCAGGUGGGAAUGAAGUUGGAAGCUGUGGACAGAAGGAACCCCAUGCUCAUUCGUGUCGCCACAAUCGCAGACACGGAAGACCACCGGCUUAAGAUCCAUUUUGAUGGCUGGAAUCCAGAUGAUGACUUCUGGGUGGAGACCGACUGCCCCGACCUGCACCCUGUAGGCUGGUGUCACAAGACUGGACACUCUUUGCAGCACCCU